CCGGCUCGUCGCCUCCACAGCCGGCAGCGGGCGCCGCGUCAGCAAGGUGAAGACGCUGCGACGCGCCAUCGAUUACAUCCGGCAGUUGCAGCUGCAGCUGCAGCUCCACGCCGCCGGCGAGUGCCUGCACCCUCAGCGUCCUGACGUCGACGACGACGUCUCUACGUCGCCGUGGACACGCAUCCCCGACUGCUGUGAAUUGCAGACGAGCGACAAAGAGAAUUCGACGUCGGGCCACCAGUUGCCGCCUCCGCAGCAAUGCCAGUAUACCGUUCCUCGGCAGGAGAACAGCGACACUGACAAGGUGUGCGCGACAGGGAACUACCUGCAAGGUCUCGACUGCGAUUUGGAUGGACUGCUGCGUGGCUGCUACCACCACCAACUCCUCUGACUGUUCCUGAAGACACAUCUCUGCCACUCGCCAGGGCUGCACGCUGAAAAGCGUACCCGAAGUCACCUAAGUGGACAUUUAGCUUUAGCAUCAGUGACGGUAGAGCCAGCAGGUCAUGUGAAGAGGACCGUGCGUGGGAAUGCGUGAAGAAAGAGGACGUUUCGUCAUAAAGCCAAGCGUGCUUAGCGUAUGCGGUAGAAGAGAAAACUUAGAACGUCAGAAAUAACGGAGAAGAUGAUCGCACACUCUUUUUGGAAACUGCAGUUUGCGAUUAGGCUCUUAGUGUAUCCUUUAGGGACACGACAUUUUCGCUUCGCUAGUCACCGUGCCGCGCACAUCACCAUAUUUUGUCUUAGUUCGUCGGUAUAUAAACACUUCUAGGAGCGUUGAAGAUCUAGUCAUCAAGCGCUUGUCACAAGCCGCGGUAUGUUUUCUACUGAAAAGGCGUUUCACAGAUGUCUCACUUUCGCAAUGCCGGGUGGUUAAGAGACAGUCAGAACAGUACUUGAUGAGAACUUUAAGAAUACACAGAAUUUUUGUCUUCUGAUUUCUAGAGCGAGUGUCUCAGAACUUCCUAGUGUAGAAUGCAGAACUCGUCCCUUGAUUAAUGAAAAGCGCAAUUAUUUGAACAGUUUAGUUAAUUACAGUGCAAAAUGCAUUUUGGAAUUGCAGAAAGUGUAAUUGGUAUUAGCAAUAAUGUUUGUAAAAGGAAGUAAGCGUGUGGCGUAGUGAUAGGAAACCUGUGCUUAUUAAAGAUAAUAACUGCUGCAUAUGUCAGCCAUUCUAUGUAGGCGACGGCCUGUCAUUACACAUACCUCCAUGAUUUUGUUUCUUAUUUAUUUUUUAUAUUUUUCUAAUCCUUUUAAUCACUACCUCUAAAGGUAGAGCGGACUGUUGGAGUCGGACUUUUCAUCCCAAUACCUAUAAGGCCAGCUGGCAGUGCAGCAGAGUGAGUCGCAAUUGCGAAUAUUUAAGAGGCCACUAUCAGCUUCAGCAUUUCCUUUGUAACAAAGGGAGAUCCCGCGAAAACAUUGAAGGGAAACAGAGGAUGUAAAUCAUUUUUAACUUAAUUCUGGGUCAAUAUGAAAGCCUAGUGUAUGUGUAGGAGUAUUUGUUUACUUGCACACACAGCAAAGUCUAUGACGCUCGUCAUGUGCAGUGUAAAUACGUCGCUGUUGGGGCUAUGAUUCUAUUCGUAGUUCAGAGAAUACAUACAUUUUGUCGGAAAUUUCUCUCCAUAACCACCGUGCUCUCAUGUCUCUCUGAACAAAAUAAAUGCCUACCAUUGUCACGAAUUACUGUCGAUGAAAGAAAGAUCAUUCAACGUUUCUCAUUUGAACGCCUGCAUCGUCAACCAAAGACUCACAAAUCUGUUUUUAAAAGUAUUGCUAGAUAUCUCAGGUUUUAGACUUCUGCUAGUUAGUUCUCCAGCUGUUGCUGCACUAAUCUUUUCAUCUCUGCACAUGUAGUACAUCCAACGUCCUCAGUAAUCUACGACACUACCCUUCUCCACCAAAAAUACAAACUGAGAAAAAUUCAAGUUUCAUGCUCGAAUAAUUGAAAUAAAACUCCGAGAGAUGCUUAAUUUUGCGGACACAUCUGAGUAUCUGAUAAACUUUUUCGUAUAAGGUUAUUUUCACAGUCACACUUACUAAUACCUCCAUAUUUAAUAACUCAUUUGGCCAUUCAUUUAUAUUUCUAUAAAAACGCAAUCAGAAGCUGCCCGUUUCCUGUUCAUCAGUUCCAUACCACCUGAUGACAGAUAUCAACAUAUGCUCAACAAAUUUUCUUGGAUUAAAUUAAUCUGCUUCUGCUGCUUUCCUUGCUUUGACGAUUUACUGGAAUAGUGAUUCGAAGAUAUCGUAAUUAUUUCGGGUUUUGUAGCGUAUUAGAUGUGUAACUAAAGAAAUGACACCAACUUCCCGCCAGCCUUCUUCACUCUUUAUAGACGUUUUAUUGGAAUGUCACACAGAACAGUUGUUUCAAGAGAUUUUAAAAAUCUGUUUCUACAAACUAAUCCCGGUACGUCAACUUCUGCAUCCUAUUUGAGUGUUUACCGCACACUCUACACUAGGUUCCUUCCCAGAUGAGCACCUGAAUCUCGAUUUGUGUUUGUCACAAACACAGAGAGUAAGAGCAUUUCCUUUAGCAGCAUUCCAACAGUUUUUUUCUUGUUAAUUAAUCAUAUUACAUGUCAGGUUUUCUCUGCAUAGUAAGGGGACGUCCAUCUAUUAAGUGAGGUACUUUUCUUCUUUUUCCUUUUUCUUUUUUUAAUGGACCUCUUGCCCCCUUGGUAAGGUUUGGUCAGAUGUGGUGCGACAGCCCUCCUGUCUCUCACGUUGCUUUUGCCCUCCAAUUUUUUAACAAUUCUACUUAAUUGAAAUGUUCAUGUUUUUGCUUCAUACUACUAAAAUACCUAUUACAUUGCUCAGAAUUAAUUUUACAAAUAAAACGUUAUCCGUUAUAAAAACGGAUAUCCUCGGAAUAUUCUGACAUUUGGCAGAUUUCAGGAUAGUUAAUUUGAUUAAACUCAUUAUAAUGCAUCUUAAACGUAGUUAUAAUUUCACCCCUAAUUUCAGAGAAAAAAUUUAGUAGCUAAAUUUAGAACUUUUAGCUCGUGAUUAAAUAUAUUGUAUUUUAAACGUGCCAGUCGUGAGUAGAUUUGGACGGACGACAGGCAGAGACAGACAGUCAGACAAAAAAGAUCCGUGAAAAUAGUAUUAACCUUUUUGAAGGGUCCCUAAAAAAACCGACCUUUUGUUGAUGUAUUAUAUACAUUACAUGUGACUGAUUGUACGUUCCUUUGAACCGUGUGAUUACGUAACUUUUCAAUCUCUUAAGUUAUGUGAUCAAUAAAAUAAUUCUCGUCGGUGAACUUCAGCUUACCUGUCUUCCACAAACGGUUAACCCCACGGUGGCGCGUUUGUUUCGACUUGUCCGCAUGCUGCUUUCCAUACGCACUGUAAAAGCUUUGGUACAGAUUCAUUUUGAACACAGUAACACAAAGAUUAUAUGCGUUGCAGAAUACCACCAGUGACUCCAUGACUGGCACGCAGUGAUUUCGACUGGCACGGCAGGAAACUCUCCGAAUGAAAUUUCACUUUUGUUCGGCUCUUGUUUCAAAUCAUGGAAUGCCGGGCAUGCACUCAUGUGAAGCAUGCAGCUCAGAGAGGCCAUAAAGAUUGUCUACGCUCGGAAUUACUUUCCUAAAACAAAAUAUUAGCCUUUAUAAUAACGCAUAUUCUCUGAAUUAAAAAGUUGAAUUCAUAUUUUAACUAUUGCCCCCUCCCUCGUGUCCUUAAAUGAGAUUUUUACGGACACCCCCCCCCCCCCAUUUUGAGCUUACCUAAUUAAUGGACGUCCCCUAAGCAUUACACAUAAUUAACAGCUAUAUUUAAGAAAUAAAACAGGAAUAUAAUAGACGGUGACGAAAAAUGUGCUAAAGUAAACAAAUAAUUGGGUUACACAUGUAUUUUCCAGUAAGUUCGAAUACACUGCGAGUUGUUUGUAGCUACUGCCGUUUAGCGCUUCACAACCUCCGUAGUUUAUAUCUUCCGAAUUUUCUUCCCGGUGGUUUAUGGAGUCCAUAGCUUCCUCGACACCUGUCAUCCAUCUCCUAGGCGGUCAAUUUCGUUUCCCUUUUCCCUGUGGGAUCCGCCUCCACACCUAUCUUCUGUUAUCAUCGACCUUCCUAAUUGGGUACACUGUAGUAGCGUUCCCUUAUCAGUAGCUCCCAAUACGUUCCUUAUCACUUCCACCACUCUUUCUCAUUUCCGUAAUCUGUACUUAUUCUAAAAUUAAUGAUCUUUUAGGAACCCCUUAUUCGUAACAGGUGAAUUCAUCACAAAGCUAUUUACUGCGAAAGAUUUUCAUACAUUUUCCUCAUGAAACUACUCAUUCUCAAAUUUGAUUUAUUCUUUCUCUCUUUGUGGAACACUCUGUGUCAAGCUAUUAGAUGAAUGCGUACUGUCUCUCUAGUCAGGCUCAGCAAACUAGUCAUGCUUUUUACAGAAAUAAGAAAUAUUAACUAGCAACAACUUAUUAAAUUCUAGUCGUUUUUAUUCCAUGCAAAUGUUGUUUCUGUUUCAAUAAAAAGAUCA